rnacentral:rRNA from 1 species
GACGGGGGGGGCAAGUGUUCUUCGGAAUGACUGGGCGUAAAGGGCGCGUAGGCGGCCUUCUAAGUCGAACGUGAAAUCCCCGGGCUCAACCCGGGAACUGCGUCCGAUACUGGAAGGCUUGAAUCCGGGAGAGGGAUGCGGAAUUCCAGGUGUAGCGGUGAAAUGCGUAGAUAUCUGGAGGAACACCGGUGGCGAAGGCGGCUCACUGGCCCGAUACUGACGCUGAGGUGCGAAAGCGUGGGGAGCAAACAGG